rnacentral:rRNA from 1 species
GUAAGGAACCCUUCCCCUGGGGCUGAUCCCUGGCUGACAGUCGACCGUGGGGUGCCAGAGGGGGGCAGGAGCUCGGUGAGUCAUUUUCCCGGUUCUUUGUCAACCUUUGGCUUACUCCUGCGUGUCGGCAGUGGCCCACGCCCACAAUGGGGGGGCGCAAGCCCGGGACUUGCCACCAGUGCACCUCUCGGCGUCCGCGACUGGCCUCUCGGGGCCUUUCCGCGUGGGCUGAGUUGGUAGCCGGCAAGUACCUUGAGCAGACAUGUUGGGACCCGAAAGAUGGUGAACUAUGCUUGGCCAGGACGAAGCCAGAGGAAACUCUGGUGGAGGUCCGCCGCGAUUCUGACGUGCAAAUCGAUCGUCGGAGCUGAGUAUAGGGGCGAAAGACUAAUCGAACCAUCUAGUAGCUGGUUCCCUCCGAAGUUUCCCUCAGGAUAGCUGGUACUCGAGGGUAAUUUCAUCCGGUAAAGCGAAUGAUUAGAGGUCUUGGGGACGAAACGUCCUCAACCUAUU